AGCGAACGCUGGCGGCAGGCCUAACACAUGCAAGUCGAACGGGCGUAGCAAUACGUCAGUGGCAGACGGGUGAGUAACGCGUGGGAACGUACCUUUUGGUUCGGAACAACCCAGGGAAACUUGGGCUAAUACCGGAUAAGCCCUUACGGGGAAAGAUUUAUCGCCGAAAGAUCGGCCCGCGUCUGAUUAGCUAGUUGGUGUGGUAACGGCGCACCAAGGCGACGAUCAGUAGCUGGUCUGAGAGGAUGAUCAGCCACAUUGGGACUGAGACACGGCCCAAACUCCUACGGGAGGCAGCAGUGGGGAAUAUUGGACAAUGGGCGCAAGCCUGAUCCAGCCAUGCCGCGUGAGUGAUGAAGGCCCUAGGGUUGUAAAGCUCUUUUGUGCGGGAAGAUAAUGACGGUACCGCAAGAAUAA
rnacentral:rRNA from 1 species